CAGGAAGUAAGAUUCAUUUAUAUUUCUAGGGACUGAUUACUUCAGACUGAAGGUCGCAUAGCUGGUGGCCAAGCAGAGACUUAGGUCCCCAUCCUUGGACAUUUUGUAUCACUUAUGGCAACAAAUUUCCUGUGGAAGAAAAAGGUCAGAUGGGAGAAAUAAGAACAUCUAAAGACUCUUUGCGCGCGUUAAGUAUCAUCACAUUCACAGGAAGGGCCCAUGAGCCAUCUGCCAUCCUACCCAGAGUGCGGUGGAGGAGAAAUCAUGUGUAGAUUAAAGGCUGUCUCCUUCUGUCACUUAAACAAGCACAUCCCGGAUUCGUAUUGCCAUAAAAAUAAGAGAGCAGACCCAGGUAUUGAAUCCACUAUGAUAGAUGGAAAGGAAGAGCAAGUGACAGCAGUUAAUCAAGGCAAGAAGCUAAAGGAACUGAAAUAAAAUAUUUGUGCAAAAAUAUUUCCUGUGGCCAUGUUCUAGCCACAUGAAAAAGCUAUCCAACCACUAACCCAUCCAUCCACCCACCCAUCCACCCAUCCAUCCACCCACCCACCCAUUCACUCCCCACCCAUCCAUCCAUCCAAUCAUUCAUUCAGGACAC
rnacentral:lncRNA from 1 species